GUGUAGUAUGAAAGGAGAGACGUUUAGCACUCCCCUAGACAAGGAUGGAAACACACAUAAACUGGUAAGGCA